GUGGGGAAUCUUAGACAAUGGGCGCAAGCCUGAUCUAGCCAUGCCGCGUGAGCGAUGAAGGCCUUAGGGUUGUAAAGCUCUUUCAGCUGGGAAGAUAAUGACGGUACCAGCAGAAGAAGCCCCGGCUAACUCCGUGCCAGCAGCCGCGGUAAUACGGAGGGGGCUAGCGUUGUUCGGAAUUACUGGGCGUAAAGCGCACGUAGGCGGAUCAGAAAGUCAGAGGUGAAAUCCCAGGGCUCAACCUUGGAACUGCCUUUGAAACUCCUGAUCUUGAGGUCGAGAGAGGUGAGUGGAAUGCCGAGUGUAGAGGUGAAAUUCGUAGAUAUUCGGAGGAACACCAGUGGCGAAGGCGGCCAACUGGACGGGAACUGACGCUGAGGUACGAAAGCGUGGGGAGCAAACAGGAUUAGAAACCCUGGUAGUCC
rnacentral:rRNA from 1 species